rnacentral:tRNA from 3 species
CGGAUGUAGCCNAGUGGAUCAAGGCAGU